rnacentral:tRNA from 1 species
GCAGUGGUGAGAGCACUCACCUCCCACCAAUGUGGCCAAGGUUCAAAUCCUG